rnacentral:rRNA from 1 species
UACGUAGGUGGCAAGCGUUAUCCGGAUUUAUUGGGUGUAAAGGGCGUGUAGGCGGGAAAGCAAGUCAGAUGUGAAAACUCAGGGCUCAACCCUGAGCCUGCAUUUGAAACUGUUUUUCUUGAGUGCUGGAGAGGCAAUCGGAAUUCCGUGUGUAGCGGUGAAAUGCGUAGAUAUACGGAGGAACAUCGGUGGCGAAAGCGCUUUACUGGACCAUUAUUGACGCUGAGGAACGAAAGCCAGGGGAGCAAAUGGG